GACGAACGCUGGCGGCGUGCUUAAUACAUGCAAGUCGAGCGAGGUCCAUCUGGUGGCAACACCAGUGAAGGCCGAGCGGCGAACGGGUGAGUAACACGUGAGCAACCUGCCCCGAAGUCUGGAAUAACAUCGGGAAACCGGUGCUAAUACCGGAUCGCCCCACCUGACCGCAUGAUCGGGUGAGGAAAGAUUUAUCGCUUCGGGAGGGGCUCGCGGCCUAUCAGCAGUUGGUGGGGUAACGGCCUACCAAGGCGUCGACGGGUAGCUGGUCUGAGAGGACGACCAGCCACACUGGGACUGAGACACGGCCCAGACUCCUACGGGAGGCAGCAGUAGGGAAUCUUGCGCAAUGGGCGAAAGCCUGACGCAGCAACGCCGCGUGGGGGAUGACGGCCU
rnacentral:rRNA from 1 species